AUGGAGGAAUGAGAUGAUGAAAACAAUCAGAAAGCCACACCCAGUGUCGACUGCAGCAAGGACACAUGGCUUAGUAGGGCAAUGAAGAGUCUGGUGUAGUGAACUCGGCAAAUAAUGACAAAGUCACAGGUGACGGAGAUGGAGGAGCAUGAGGCUAGGUGACAGCUAUAAGACCACCUUCCUCUCCCUAUCAUGGCUGCCAGAUCAGGAGAAUUAAGAGAAAAGAGAAAGACAUCUUCAAAACCUUGGUGGAGCAACUUCUAGACCUCCUUCUCAGGAUAGGAAUGACGUUUAAAAUAAACAUCUCCAGGCUGGAAUGCAUGAA